UUAGAGGGACGGCCAGGUCUUGGUAGAUUUGCAGUGGUCUGAUACUCCUUCCAUUUCAAUAUUAUCGCUUGCACAGUGCUCCUUGGGAUGUUUAAAGCUUGGGAAAUUUAAAUUUAAUGUCUAAACAAAAUAAUCAAAAAACAUUAUUUUUUAAUAACCUAACAAAAUAUUAUUUUUUACGAAUAAGGGGCAAAUAUUGUACAAUCCAGGUUUGCAAAGAUCUUAGAGACAGAUUUACCCAGAAAUAAACGCUUCCAAAGGUGAUUCUAACAUGUCGUCACUCAAGGGGUUGAAUACUUAUCCAAUCAAAACACUACAUAAGUGUUUUAUUUUCUAUUAAAACAUUUAAAAAUGUAUUUUUUUCUUCCACUUUGACAGAGUAUUUUGUGUAGAUUGUUUACAAAAAAUUACAAUAAAAUACAUUUGUAACAACAAAAUGUGGAAAAAGUCAAGGGGUGUGAAUACUUUCUGAAGGCACUGUCUAUAAUCUCAUACUGCCAGUGCCAGCCAGCCCAUAGCCGAAUGUUUAGCUUUCUAGCUAACGUUAGCAUCUUAGCUAGCACAACAUGGCUAAGGAUACUGCACUAAUUCGGCAGCUAACACAAGCAGCUGUUUCAUAGAAACUAGCUAAUCUAUUGUGAUAUAUUGUCAAUACUAGCUACAGUGGUUAGCUAGUUUGGAGGAAGUAUUUAGUGUUGUGGGCAUUGCGUCUGUCACUUCGGUAGCUACCAUCCCAUAGCCUUCACUGCAUAUGAAGUGUGACUGGCUCAUCGUGGAUGUACAGAGAAAAUGCCCUUCUUUAUGCUCCCCUUCGUGGAGGUUUGUGCUCUCUGAUUGGCUCAAAGUCAAGUUGUUGGCUACUGACAACCAUUGCUGUAGGUUCGUUGCUACCGGUUCAGCACGCAGCAGGUACCGCGUUUGUUCUAGCGAGACAAGAAACGGCCUCCUACUGUAAUAAAUACAUAUUGGCAGUCUAUCAGCAGCGAGAUUAUCGUGUUUCAUGCUUUAGGGUUAGUAUAUAGUUAGUUUAAAUGUUACUGAUAGUCUAAAGAGCAUCUACAGAUGGACUAUCCAAAUAAACUUCUAGUCAUUUCAUUAAUUUUUAUUUAACCCUUAUUUUACCAUGUAAAUUGACUGAGAAAACAUUCUCAUUUACAGUAAUGACAUGGGUAAUAGUUACAGGGGAGAGGAUGGGGGAUGAAUGAGCCAAUUGGAAGCUGGGGAUGAUUCAUCCUUAGUUAGUUUUAGUUAUCAGUCGACUGACAAUCUGGACAAUUUUAGUCUAGUUUUAGUCACUUAGUCAGUGCGUUUUGUCUAUUAAAUAACGAAUAUUUAGGCUACCUCUAAUUUCCACCACGUGCCUUGUCCAACUAGGCCUCGUAUACUUUAGCUGGCAACAUUUGAUAUUGUGGCAGAUUAUAACCAAUGCCAGCCGUAAUUAACCAUAUAGUCUAUAAAGGCUUGGCUACAGGUUCAACAAUUUACAGCUCUAAUUUUCUUUCCAUCAUAACUGUCAAGGGGUUAAAUUCUAGUGGUUUCAUUUAAAGGGGUAUUUGAGUUUUACAAAAAAUGCCAGAAGCAUUACUGUACGUUUAAUAGUCAACAAAUAGCAUUCAUUUUUCCCAUAUGAAAAAAUUAACCACGUGUCGCAUUUCCUGACUGCGGCAUGAGAGCCGCAACACAGAUGAAUGAAACAGCGCACAUGGGGAAAUAGAGCUAUUGAUGUGACUGAAGUGACUGUGUGGCAGAGCCGGGCAGAUCAGCUCAAUCAGACCGCGCAACUGAAAUGUGUAAAUUCUGUCAAUGAGAGGAUUGCAUGAAUUAUUUUGCUUGCAUGUUUCUGAUUGUACAAAAUGUAUGAAAAAAUGCUUAAUGACAAAUUAAAUGUCCAUUAUGCUGUUGUGGAAUUCUCGUUUCGUCAGAUUUUUGUUGACUAAAAUGAAAAGGUAAUGUUUUUUUUCACAGGGCGUCACGUUAUCAUAGUUUUAAUCAGGAAAAAUAAGUACUUGACGAGUAUUUUUCGUCAUAGUUAUUGUUGACGAAUUGAACAGUAUUUGACUGGACCUAGAUCAGAUGGGGAGGGAGCAUGACAAGGAGUCAGACGAACUGGCUCUACUCAGUGAGGUGGACAGACACCGCAGGCAGAUGCUCAGGUAUAAUAGCAUGGUAGGAGUGUGGAUUAGCACGGUAGGAGUGUGGAUUAGCACAGUAGGAGUGUGGAUUACUGCUGUUGCUUCAGUACUGAAUCCAGACUGUACUGCAUAAACUGCACGCAAGCAUCCUAAUGAAACGGUGUGUUUUCUGUCCCUACAUUAACCAGACAGUAUGGAAGAAAGCCAACCUGGACAGUAAACUGUCGCUGGACAACCUGGAGAAGGAAUCUCUUCUCUAUGGAGGAGAUAGUGAAUUUAGACAAAGAAAGGUGACCAAAGAGGGCCUGGCCCAGACGUCCAGUGACAUCACAGAGAGCCUGAUGAGCAUCAGCCAGAUGAUGUCACAGCAGGUGACGCAGAGUGAGGAAUCCAUAACCAUGCUGGCUGAGUGGCUCCCCCUAGAGUACAGAGAGUGAAUGAUAUCGGAGUCUUGUUUCUGAGAGGACAGUAGUGUUUAUAAUUUCGGCCCCUGACCCCAUCCCCCAACUCCCUUUUCCUUCAGUGUUUACACAUCUGUAAGAACUAGAUGAAUGAGAAGCAGUGAUGUAGUGGUAAAAAGUGGGUAAACACUGAUCGCCUUUCACAGUGAAUAAAGUAAUGCUCCCUAUA